rnacentral:tRNA from 1 species
GCCGGUUUAGCUCUAAUGGUAGAGCGGUCUCCUUGUAAGAGAAUGGGUAGCGGUUCAAAUCCGUUAACCGGCACCA